rnacentral:rRNA from 1 species
CAGUAGCCGCGGUAAUACAGAGGGUGCGAGCGUUAAUCGGAUUUACUGGGCGUAAAGCGUGCGUAGGCGGCUUCUUAAGUCGGAUGUGAAAUCCCUGAGCUUAACUUAGGAAUUGCAUUCGAUACUGGGAAGCUAGAGUAUGGGAGAGGAUGGUAGAAUUCCAGGUGUAGCGGUGAAAUGCGUAGAGAUCUGGAGGAAUACCGAUGGCGAAGGCAGCCAUCUGGCCUAAUACUGACGCUGAGGUACGAAAGCGUGGGGAGCAAACAGGAUUAGAGACCCCCGUAGUCCCUGUCUCUUAUAC